rnacentral:sRNA from 1 species
UGGUAGACUGACACCGCGUUGCAAAGUC